rnacentral:rRNA from 1 species
UCAGGCCUAACACAUGCAAGUCGAACGGCAGCACGGACUUCGGUCUGGUGGCGAGUGGCGAACGGGUGAGUAAUAUAUCGGAACGUGCCCAGUCGUGGGGGAUAACGUAGUGAAAAUUACGCUAAUACCGCAUACGAUCUACGGAUGAAAGCGGGGGAUCGCAAGACCUCGCGCGAUUGGAGCGGCCGAUAUCAGAUUAGGUAGUUGGUGAGGUAAAGGCUCACCAAGCCAACGAUCUGUAGCUGGUCUGAGAGGACGACCAGCCACACUGGGACUGAGACACGGCCCAGACUCCUACGGGAGGCAGCAGUGGGGAAUUUUGGACAAUGGACGCAAGUCUGAUCCAGCCAUUCCGCGUGCAGGACGAAGGCCUUCGGGUUGUAAACUAAUGUUGUACAGAACGAAAAGGUCUUUAUUAAUACUAGGGGCUCAGAC